GAUGAACGCUGGCGGCGUGCCUAAUACAUGCAAGUCGAGCGAACGGACGAGAAGCUUGCUUCUCUGAUGUUAGCGGCGGACGGGUGAGUAACACGUGGAUAACCUACCUAUAAGACUGGGAUAACUUCGGGAAACCGGAGCUAAUACCGGAUAAUAUUUUGAACCGCAUGGUUCAAAAGUGAAAGACGGUCUUGCUGUCACUUAUAGAUGGAUCCGCGCUGCAUUAGCUAGUUGGUAAGGUAACGGCUUACCAAGGCAACGAUGCAUAGCCGACCUGAGAGGGUGAUCGGCCACACUGGAACUGAGACACGGUCCAGACUCCUACGGGAGGCAGCAGUAGGGAAUCUUCCGCAAUGGGCGAAAGCCUGACGGAGCAACGCCGCGUGAGUGAUGAAGGUCUUCGGAUCGUAAAACUCUGUUAUUAGGGAAGAACAUAUGUGUAAGUAACUGUGCACAUCUUGACGGUACCUAAUCAGAAAGCCACGGCUAACUACGUGCCAGCAGCCGCGGUAAUACGUAGGUGGCAAGCGUUAUCCGGAAUUAUUGGGCGUAAAGCGCGCGUAGGCGGUUUUUUAGUCUGAUGUGAAAGCCCACGGCUCAACCGUGGAGGGUCAUUGGAAACUGGAAAACUUGAGUGCAGAAGAGGAAAGUGGAAUUCCAUGUGUAGCGGUGAAAUGCGCAGAGAUAUGGAGGAACACCAGUGGCGAAGGCGACUUUCUGGUCUGUAACUGACGCUGAUGUGCGAAAGCGUGGGGAUCAAACAGGAUUAGAUACCCUGGUAGUCCACGCCGUAAACGAUGAGUGCUAAGUGUUAGGGGGUUUCCGCCCCUUAGUGCUGCAGCUAACGCAUUAAGCACUCCGCCUGGGGAGUACGACCGCAAGGUUGAAACUCAAAGGAAUUGACGGGGACCCGCACAAGCGGUGGAGCAUGUGGUUUAAUUCGAAGCAACGCGAAGAACCUUACCAAAUCUUGACAUCCUUUGACAACUCUAGAGAUAGAGCCUUCCCCUUCGGGGGACAAAGUGACAGGUAGUGCAUGGUUGUCGUCAGCUCGUGUCGUGAGAUGUUGGGUUAAGUCCCGCAACGAGCGCAACCCUUAAGCUUAGUUGCCAUCAUUAAGUUGGGCACUCUAAGUUGACUGCCGGUGACAAACCGGAGGAAGGUGGGGAUGACGUCAAAUCAUCAUGCCCCUUAUGAUUUGGGCUACACACGUGCUACAAUGGACAAUACAAAGGGCAGCGAAACCGCGAGGUCAAGCAAAUCCCAUAAAGUUGUUCUCAGUUCGGAUUGUAGUCUGCAACUCGACUACAUGAAGCUGGAAUCGCUAGUAAUCGUAGAUCAGCAUGCUACGGUGAAUACGUUCCCGGGUCU
rnacentral:rRNA from 1 species